ACUUUUAAAGGAUAUGAGUUAUCCGUUGGUCUUAGGAACCAAAAAAU
rnacentral:tRNA from 3 species